rnacentral:rRNA from 1 species
AUGACUCCGGAACAGCCGACUCCGUCCCUGCAGUUCGGCGGACCAUCCGGCUCCGCGGCCCCCUGCCCGGGGUACUGCGACCAGGCGCCGCCAACCUCGCUGCUCCGCACCACCGAGCCCAUCGGACGCGGCGCCCCGACCCAGACACCGCCGCGGUUCGCCAAAAUCGACUCCGCCACUUAUGACGGCACGAAGGACCCCCUCAACUGGCUCAACCAGUGCGACCUGUUCUUUCGCGGGCAGUGCACCCUCGCAUCGGAGCGUACCUGGCUCGCCUCUUACCACCUUCGCGGCGUGGCGCAGACCUGGUACUACGCCCUCGAGCAGGACGAGGGCGGCAUGCCCCCUUGGGAGCGCUUCCGCGAGUUCUGCCUCCUUCAUUUUGGGCCUCCGACUCGCGGGAGCCGCCUGGCAGAGCUAGGCCGCAUGCCCUUCACCUCCACAGUGCAGGACUUCGCCGACCGUUUCCAGGCCCUGGCGUGCCACGCGUCGGGCGUGACGGCACAACAGCGCGCCGACCUCUUCGUCGGUGGACUGCCGAAUCACAUCCGCGUGGACGUGGAGCUUCGGGGACCCCAGGAUCUCCAGACGGCCAUGUAUUACGCCCGCGCCUUCGAGUGUCGCGCCCAGGCCAUGCAGCAGGCAGCCCCGGCUCGAGGAGGCCGAUAG